UACCCUGAGUCAAGGGCUUUUCAGUGUCUCAUGCUCUGCCAGUGAGGAGCUGCACAAGAAUCUGGGAGAGAGCAUGGCCAGCACAGCUGAUCCAAACUGCCCAAAGGGAUAUUCCACACCAUAGAACAUCACGCCCAGUAUAUAAACUGGGAGGAUUUACCUAAAGGGG